AUUGAACGCUGGCGGCAUGCUUUACACAUGCGAGUCGGACGGCAGCACAGAGAAGCUUGCUUCUUGGGUGGCGAGUGGCGAACGGGUGAGUAAUAUAUCGGAACGUACCGAGUAAUGGGGGAUAACUAAUCGAAAGAUUAGCUAAUACCGCAUAUUCUCUGAGGAGGAAAGCAGGGGACCUUCGGGCCUUGCGUUAUUCGAGCGGCCGAUAUCUGAUUAGCUAGUUGGUGGGGUAAAGGCCUACCAAGGCGACGAUCAGUAGCGGGUCUGAGAGGAUGAUCCGCCACACUGGGACUGAGACACGGCCCAGACUCCUACGGGAGGCAGCAGUGGGGAAUUUUGGACAAUGGGCGCAAGCCUGAUCCAGCCAUGCCGCGUGUCUGAAGAAGGCCUUCGGGUUGUAAAGGACUUUUGUCAGGGAAGAAAAGGCUGUUGCUAAUACCGACAGCUGAUGACGGUACCUGAAGAAUAAGCACCGGCUAACUACGUG
rnacentral:rRNA from 1 species